rnacentral:rRNA from 1 species
UACGUAGGGGGCAAGCGUUGUCCGGAAUCAUUGGGCGUAAAGAGCGUGUAGGCGGCCCGAUAAGUCCGCUGUGAAAGUCCAGGGCUCAACCCUGGAAUGCCGGUGGAUACUGUCGGGCUCGAAUCCGGAAGAGGUGAGUGGAAUUCCUGGUGUAGCGGUGAAAUGCGUAGAUAUUGGGAAGAACACCUGAGGCGAAGGCGGGUUGCUGGGCCGACACUGACGCUGAGUGCGCGAAAGCCAGGGGAGCGAACGGG